UAUUACAGAAUAGAACUAGAAUUUAAACCCCCUUGUUCAGUUCCCUCACAAAGUACGAGGGGCCUUCGAAAUAACUUAUUAAGUGAUCCUGAACAAGGCUAUGAAGUCACGUUUUGGCCUUCACGUCUCCAGCCUGAGAGGGCGCUUCCUCUGGUCUUAGCACCACCUCCCAGGGAUUCCUUUCCGGCACCUGCCCCGAUUUACCCGGUUUGUCUCCACAGGUGGAGACAUGCUUCUUGUUAUUAAUCCACAACGGCUCCUGGAUCGCAGAGCAGAAAGACCCAUUCCCCUCUUGGGAAUGUCACGCUCCCACAGGUAGCCGGAAGCAGCUAUCCUAUUUAUAAUGAGGUCACUCCGAACGCGUUUAGAUGACACGGUAUCUUCUUUGCUCACCUUAAAGGCCAAGCCCUGGGGUAGAAACACUGGGCUCAGGUUCCGCCCUUCGAGGAGCUCUGACAAAUUCAGCUGAGACAAUGUUUUCCACUUCCAGCCCAGUGCAGGCUCCUCGACACCUUGGGGGUCUGUAGAAUACUAAAAUUUCAAGAGGAUGCCCUGUGAAUACAGCUGCUUAGAAAUGUUUAGUGUUCCUUAGACACCUGAAAAGCGAAAAGGGGUGAGUGCCCCACUAUGAUCAUCCAUUUCUAAUUUUUUUUAAUGUUUAUUUUAUGGGGGGGAGGGGAGCAGAGAGAGAGAGGGAGACAGAGACUCAAAGCAGGCUCCAGGCUCUGAGCUGUGAGCACAGAGCCCGACACGGGGCUCGAACUCACAAACCGAGAGAUCAUGACCUGAGCUGAAGUCGGACGCUUAACUGAGUCAUCCAGGAGCCCCUGAUCAUCCAUUUCUAAAACACCAGAGGAGAUUCCCAAUCCCAACGCCAUGGCCACAGCAAAGUGUCUGUCAUUUCACGUCUGUCCGAGGUUCUAAAAGCUCCAGGCUUUCAGUGGAUGUGGUGGGAGUGUCCACAAUGUGGUAUCACGUGACGUGCCAGGGAACUAAGAAUCAGUAAUUCACAGUCUGUGCUCUUGAAGGAAUAUAUGUGGCAGUGAAGAAGACAGAGCUCUUAGUAGAAGUAUGCCUCUAACCCAACUGGGGUGGCAGGGUGGGGCGUGGAGGAGCGGGAGGAAAGGCAAAGAAGGGGUCCAAAAGAGGUGGUGCUUGCCGUGAAUUGUGAGGCGGAAGGAUGAUGAGCCAAGGAGUAGGGCAAGAGGAGCAAUGUGGACAAAGCCUGGCAGUGGGGGACACGGCCCGUGCGCUGAGUGUGGCUGGAGAGGUGAGGCCGGGUGAGUGGGCAGGAGCCACAGCAUGGGAGUUGGGAUUUUAUCGGUGGAACUAUUGCAAGACUUUAAGAACGGGAAUAAUAUGAUCCGAUUUGCAUGUUAGUUAAAUCCAGCCUCCCGGUCUGUAGAGAGCAGUUUGAGGGAGAAACGCCUGAAAAGGCAUGGACGUGACAGCCUCUCUUUUCCCCAGCCGCCAUCAGACCCCUCCCCGCUGCCGCAGGCUCACGUACCCGCCCUGGGCAGGCCGCCCCACCAUUUCUGUCUCAUUGCGGUACUGGUACCGACUUGAGAAGGAAUUCUCUGCCCCCUUGCAGGGGAGCCGGCAGAGGGUAGAGGCACAGGAUUACGGCCUUAUGAAAGCUGUCUCUGUACUCAGCGCUUUUUCAUCCUACUCGUUUGGUAGUCAUGGAAAUCGGGUAGGCGUGGUCAGCGCCCGUCCACUGCACACGCUGCAGUCGCAGAGCUGGUCUCUAGGCCACUCUUUUUGCCACUUUCUGGGGUUCCCUCUGCUCCACAGAUUCCCGGUGCAGAAAUGCUCUCUUCCUCCUCCCUCUGAAAACCCUGCCUUUGGGAAAGGCUCUGAUAGCUUCCAUUUAUAUCCUAGUGUUCCCGAUGGAGAGAAGCUUAACCCGAAGGAUCAUCUGUGCCUGUAAUAAAGGUGAUGUCCUAUGAGAACUGCACUCAGAGCAAGCUUCCAACCUCAUUCACAAAUAUUUAUGGAGCACCUGCUAUGUGCCAAGCACUGUUCCAGGAGCUCCGAAUACAGCAACAAACCUUCAAGACUCAGUUCAGUUGUCACGACCCCUGAAAAGCUUUCCCACACUCCUUCAUGCCUACCUGCAGGGGGUUGUCGCCGAUCCCUCGUGGGAGUUCUCAGGUGAGCAGGCUUCGUGAGCCAAGAAGCAUCCCUGCUGCCCAGCCCGACCCUGAGGGUUAUAGCUGCCUCUCUCCUUUUCCACGACUGCCCCUCCCCAGAAAGCACAGGCUGAUGCUGUUUCUGAAGAGCCAUCCAUUCCACGACUCAGGUCUCCACACUGCCUCGUGAGGCACCUUUAAAACACUUUCGUUGUAGCCAACUUGGUAAUAUGUUGUAGUUUUCCACCUAAUUAUCAGUCUAAACCUAGUUUAUUUAAAAAUAUACGCACUUGGGGUGCUGGGUGGCUCAGUUGGUUGGGCGACUGACUUCGGCUCGGGUCAUGAUCUCGCAGUCUGUGAGUUCGAGCCCCGCAUUGGGCUCUGUGCUGACAGCUCAGAGCCUGGAGCCUGUUUCGGAUUCUGUGUCUCCCUCGUUCUCUGAC